UACGUAGGGUGCAAGCGUUGUCCGGAAUUAUUGGGCGUAAAGAGCUCGUAGGCGGUUUGUUGCGUCGGCUGUGAAAACCUGAGGCUCAACCUCAGGCCUGCAGUCGAUACGGGCGGACUUGAGUGUUGCAGGGGAGACUGGAGUUCCUGGUGUAGCGGUGAAAUGCGCAGAUAUCAGGAGGAACACCGGUGGCGAAGGCGGGUCUCUGGGCAACUACUGACGCUGAGGAGCGAAAGCGUGGGGAGCGAACAGG
rnacentral:rRNA from 1 species